rnacentral:rRNA from 1 species
CGACCCCAGGUCAGGUGGAACUA